rnacentral:rRNA from 1 species
UAGGAGGCGGGAGAGGCGGACGGUACUCCGAGGGUAGGGGUAAAAUCCUUUGAUCCCCGGAAGACCACCAGUGGCGAAGGCGGUCCGCCAGAACGCGCUCGACGGUGAGGGAUGAAAGCUGGGGGAGCGAACCGGAUUAGAUACCCGGGUAGUCCCAGCUGUAAACGAUG